rnacentral:misc_RNA from 1 species
AGAGCGGCGGAUGCCGGGAAGUUGGUCAAACUUGAUCAUUUAGAGGAAGUAAAAGUCGUAACAAGGUUUCCGUAGGUGAACCUGCGGAAGGAUCAUUACCGAUAGCACGAAUCCAAACAGGUUAUCAUUAACCCGUGUGAACUGUACUUAACCUUUAGGGGUCGGUCUUGUGCCGUUAAAUGGUCGUUCGUUCGGCCAGCCCCGCCUUUAGCCAUUGUGGACGCACUUGAAUGUUCCAGUCUGAAACGAACCUUGCUGCCCGUCCUGUCGGGCAGUAGUGAGUGUAAAGGAAAAUGAGAGAGAGACAACUUUUAACGGUGGAUCUCUUGGCUCACGUAUCGAUGAAGAACGCAGCCAGCUGCGAUAAGUAGUGUGAAUUGCAGAAUUCAGUGAAUCAUUGAAUCUUUGAACGCAAAUGGCGCUCUUGGGUUCUCCCAGGAGCAUGUCUGUCUGAGUGUCGGAUAUUAUCUAACGCACUGGAAAGUGCGGAAUUGAGGCGUCACGGCGUAGUUUUAAACACAAGUCGCCGUGUCCCUUGAAGGAAAGCGAGCUAGACUCGCAUCGUGCGGUUUCAAACCCGCGCUCCGUGCGAAGGCUAAAACUAUUUUGUCCUUCGUCGGGGUGCCGGUCCGCGACAGCGCGAGUCGGCCGAAG